rnacentral:rRNA from 1 species
AGAGAGAGACAUGCGCGCAUAUCAAUAAGCGGAGGAAAAGAAACUAACAAGGAUUCCCUUAGUAACGGCGAGUGAAGCGGGAAGAGCUCAAAUUUGAAAUCUUCAAGGUUUUACCUUGACGAAUUGUAGUUUAAAGAAGUGUUUUCUGCUGAAGUUUUGGUAAAAGUUCUUUGGAAUAGGACAUCAUAGAGGGUGAGAAUCCCGUAUUUGACCAUUAUUUUCAGCUUUGUGAUACACUUUCAAAGAGUCGGAUUGUUUGGGAAUGCAGUCCAAAAUGGGUGGUAAAUUUCAUCUAAAGCUAAAUAUUGGCGAGAGACCGAUAGCGAACAAGUACCGUGAGGGAAAGAUGAAAAGAACUUUGAAAAGAGAGUUAAACAGUACGUGAAAUUGUCAAAAGGGAAGCGUUUGACACCAGUGUUGUUUUCUCGAAAAUCAAUUAAAAAUGGCUCGAUUUUGUAUUGCUUGAGACCUUAAAAGCUCACUGUACAUUUUUCGUGUCUUUUUUAAUGCACUUUUCGUCUAACAAGUCAACAUCAGUUUCUUUUGUUGUAAAAGGGUCAUUGGAAGGUGGCUUUCUUUUCGGAGAAAGUGUUUAUAGCCUUUGGCCUCUGCAAUCGAAGAGACUGAGGUCUGCAGCGUAGACUCUUCGGGGUUAGAUACAUUUGUGCUAAGUUAUAGCUUUUUAUAGACAACUUGUUGACUAUAAUUAGUCUUGUAGCUUACUCGCUUAUGCUAUUUUACCUACGCUUAGGAUGUUGAAGAUGUAGCACAUCAU